UGCAAGUCGAACGCUUCUUUUCCCACCGGAGCUUGCUCCACCGGGAAAAGAGGAGUGGCGAACGGGUGAGUAACACGUGGGUAACCUGCCCAUCAGAAGGGGAUAACACUUGGAAACAGGUGCUAAUACCGUAUAACAAUCGAAACCGCAUGGUUUCGUUUUGAAAGGCGCUUUACGGUGCCGCUGAUGGAUGGACCCGCGGUGCAUUAGCUAGUUGGUGAGGUAACGGCUCACCAAGGCCACGAUGCAUAGCCGACCUGAGAGGGUGAUCGGCCACAUUGGGACUGAGACACGGCCCAAACUCCUACGGGAGGCAGCAGUAGGGAAUCUUCGGCAAUGGACGAAAGUCUGACCGAGCAACGCCGCGUGAGUGAAGAAGGUUUUCGGAUCGUAAAACUCUGUUGUUAGAGAAGAACAAGGGUGAGAGUAACUGUUCACCCCUUGACGGUAUCUAACCAGAAAGCCACGGCUAACUACGUGCCAGCAGCCGCGGUAAUACGUAGGUGGCAAGCGUUGUCCGGAUUUAUUGGGCGUAAAGCGAGCGCAGGCGGUUUCUUAAGUCUGAUGUGAAAGCCCCCGGCUCAACCGGGGAGGGUCAUUGGAAACUGGGAGACUUGAGUGCAGAAGAGGAGAGUGGAAUUCCAUGUGUAGCGGUGAAAUGCGUAGAUAUAUGGAGGAACACCAGUGGCGAAGGCGGCUCUCUGGUCUGUAACUGACGCUGAGGCUCGAAAGCGUG
rnacentral:rRNA from 1 species